AUACGUAGGGUGCGAGCGUUAAGUCGGAAUUACUGGGCGUAAAGCGUGCGCAGGCGGUUUUGUAAGACAGGCGUGAAAUCCCCGGGCUCAACCUGGGAACUGCGCUUGUGACUGCAAGGCUAGAGUAUGGCAGAGGGGGGUGGAAUUCCACGUGUAGCAGUGAAAUGCGUAGAGAUGUGGAGGAACACCAAUGGCGAAGGCAGCCCCCUGGGCCAAUACUGACGCUCAUGCACGAAAGCGUGGGUAGC
rnacentral:rRNA from 1 species